GGGUCGGUGCCCGAGUGGCUAAAGGGGGCGGUCUGUAAAAUCGCUGGCAAUGCCUACACAGGUUCGAAUCCUGUCCGGCCCACCA
rnacentral:tRNA from 1 species